GCCACACGGCCAGGAGCAGCAGCCGUCGGCCGCAUCAGGCGAGGCGUAGGCUGGGCAGGAGUCCUGGUCCUGAUACAUUAGUUCCUAGAAUAAAAGACUAGUUUGUUACGUAUAGGUUUCUAGUUUGUUAGCAGCCCAUGGGGCCUUUAUAUAUCGUAUAAUCAGCACCCUUUGAGGGCAAGCAAUAAAGUUAUUAUCUCCUACCUCUUCCUCUGUCUCCUAUCCUCUCCUCCCGCACCAUUGAGCAGCCAGGCAAAAACCCUAGCGCUCCUAUCCACCGAGACUACGAACUACGUAGUCGAGGCCCCGCUGUCUUGGGCACUGAGGCCCUUGACAGACGACCCACAGUCACCAGGAUGGACGCAAAGAGUUCUCAUUGAGCACCGCCGUUGUGCGUCAGGAGGGUAUGUGCACCGGAGAAGACUUUCAGAGGAUUCACGGAGAAGAAGAGAGGCAAUUUAGUUGUUCCUGGAGUUGGGGCUACAUUCGACUCGCUUGGUCAGGCGUAUGACCUGAACAACAUGUACGUGUGUACUCUCGGGAAAUUGGAUUUGGUAUCUGGUACAGCAAGAGAGAUUGAAUGUUGAGCCCACAAAAUGUAUGCAAGAGAUUGUAUGCAGCUGCUCGCUAAGUGCCAGCAGAAAGUUUUUCUGAACCAUUGUGUAUAUUUCCUGACUGUGGAAAUGGUUACUUAUGUCUGCUCCAGGGGAUACCAAAGAAGAGAAGAGAGAUACUAAAUUGUGUUGAUGCAGUGACCUGCAAUGAUAUGUCUCUGGAGCAGCACGCAAGAGAUUUACACUUGGGCAAUGUUUGAGAAGUCCAGUAAGAGGCAGGGCGAUACAUGAUUGAGGAGGCAGAGAAAGGCGUAAAAUACCUCGUGAAGCGGCACCAUCCAGAGAAGCAUGAUAAAUGGUGCCACAUCGUGUAUGAGGUGCGCAUAGAAGAUCAGAGUUUCUCUACGAAUGUGGAAAUUUCUAGCAUAGCGGACUAUUGUGCUGCAUGCUAUGAAGGUCAAGGGGAGUGCCAUUGGUAAUUUAGCUGGCCUCUUCGCACCGCUUCGGGAAACACAAGCCAGGGAGACCAACUAGCUGUCGAGACAAGCCUAUGUUCGAUGACAGAGCGCGUUGAAGAGCUCAAAGAAGAAACAAAGAGAAUAUUGGGGAGACAGUUGGGUGUGAUUCAAGCAAGUAAACCCGGUUAUGUACCAUCUGUAGGCAGAAAUGGAGGAAGGCGCACGACCUGCCCCAACCGGGUCGACAUGCCAAAGAAGCCGAAGAAAGAGCUGACCUGAACAAAUUCUGGUGGUGGUUGGUUGGGUACUGGAGGGAACACUUGCGCAAUCAUAACAUCGUGCUUCACAAGGUGCUGCCUGCAUGAAGCUGAUGUAGUUGAUACUGCAGUUUGAAGAUUGUGCAAAAAACAAUUUGUAUCUGAAUACACAAAUUUUUAUAUACUCCGGGAUGUACUGAAAAUUUUCCUCUUAAGAGCAAACAAUGUCGUAGUGAGCCGCCUGAAUAAAACUGUAGGAGUUUGUGUACUGGGAGGAGGGGCAGGAACUCAUUCAGAUUUCGAAUGUUUGAUUUUCAAAGC